rnacentral:lncRNA from 1 species
GGCAAAUAUUGAUAGCUAAAAUUCAUGCACACAUAAGCUCUUUAGGGUCCUUAAUUUUUUUUAAGAGUUUAAAUAUUCUUAGACAAAAAGGUUUGGGAACCAUUGCUUUAAGUGUCCUCUAUGUCACUGGUUUUUCCCACUUUAGCAUCAAUAUCUUAAAUCCAAAGGGCAGAUAAUUAAGAUAAUAAUAAACAAACGUGAGAUACUGUUUUUUAAUGUACAUAUGUGUAAUUCAUUUCAAAGGGAAUGCAGUGAUUUCUCAAAUUGGACUUUGGUUUCCUUCAAUAAGAUAUUGAUAAACCUUUAACCAAUGCAGAUGUGAAAAUCGCCCAGAUCCACUCUGCUCUUCUACUAUGAAUGGCGUAUUGCCCUGAUCCAUACAUCUUUAUGUUUCAGGAUAAUUAUUACUGGUUCUUUGCAUUUUAGUGUUUGAUCAAGGUAUUAUCUUCAAAUGUCACUUUCAUGGAAUGAUGUGGAGGUCCACAGGCCUGGAUCACAGGCUCUGCCAGUGGCUGUGAUGUUACCUGCUGUGGUCUUUCUCUCUUGCUUCGGAUGACAUCUAUGACACUGAUCCAUUCCAGCAAGCAUUUUAUUCUGGCACUCUUGAUAGCACAGAUAGAGGAGACUCAAAAGACUGACAGAAUACCCCAGGGUCUCUCUCCAGUAUAA